GCCUGGGUGGCUCAGUCGGUUGAGCUUCUGACUUCGGCUCAGGUCAUGGUCUCACGGUCUGUGAGUUCGAGCCCCGCGUUGGGCU
rfam:Felis catus isolate Cinnamon breed Abyssinian chromosome F2, whole genome shotgun sequence.